rnacentral:tRNA from 1 species
GUGUCAAUACACCCACUAUUGUUUCAAUGUACAGCCUUCUAAGCUGUGGGUCUUGGGUUCGAACCCCAACGGAAUCACA